ensembl:lncRNA
GGACUCGCCAGCUGCCGGGCCAGAGGACGGGACGCGAACGGAUCAUACGACCAGAGCUCAAGGGCUUAUUUUUCAACAGGAGAAAGACAGAGUUCCAGAGUUGGAGGAGGAGCCACCAAGGGGGGUAGAGCCAGGUGACCAAGUGUAUCUCAGAGUGUUCAGGAGAAAGUGGAAUGAGCCCAGGAGAGAAGGACCAUACAAAGUCACCAACGCAACACCAACAGCCAUCAUAGUGGAAGGAAGUGCCACGUGGUAUCAUCUCAACCACUGCACAAAAGCCGCUCAACCUAAAGCCAGGGAUGAGCGUGAGGAGGAGGAGCCAGACGCAGACACACCUGGGGCUGACCAGCUGCCCCAGGACCAGAUCCAGUCGAGCCAAGAGAUUCAGCAACAUGAUUUUGCUGAAAAUUGGGAGCCUGUUUCUGAUCCUUUACAGGUUGUGCCAGAUUCCGCUGGCACAAGCACAGACCUCGAGGAAGGAUGAAACCACGGAGACAACACAGACCUGAAAGAGCCAGGAAUCAGGGGCUGGUACUGAAGGAAGCCAGAGAGAAUAUAUACUUCUUAAAGCUGUGGCUUGGCAGAACAGACAGGCUUUAGAUUGGCUUUUAGCAGAAAAGGGGGGAGUUUGUGCUCUUAUACGUGAAAUGGGUUGUACCUUCAUUCCAAAUAAUACUGCCCCAGAUGGAUCAUUCACACUUGCGAUGAACAACCUAGAGGAGUCGGGUGACUGGGAGAGGAUGCUCUAUGGGGAGAUAGAUUGGAGUGAAACUAGAGAGGAGACCGGACUGUGAGAAUCGGACAUCAGAAGGAGGUCCUAUUUUCUUAACUGGUGACCUCUCCAUGUGAACCACAACCAUUGCGGACAGUUUGAACAAAUGGACAUUGAACUAAUGGGUUUCAGGGCUGGUGGCUGCAAACAGAAGCAACAACCACAAUGCCCAAACCCCCCACGUUUAUAUAGUAUACCGGUACAUGACGAUAAUCAGAGCUAUCCAAAUCUAUGCAAGCUUGUUGACAAUCUUAGUUUUAAAUUUCUAUUAUUUACUUAUUUUUUGAAAUGUCAUUUUUUGAGUUUCAUAUUUUUAUGUCAUAUAUUCUGAAAUGCUAAUUUUCAAUGCAUGCUGAAAAUACUAUGUUAUGUGUGAAUUCUAGUUAAACAUUUGAAAACAUUUGCCUUAAAACAGGUUUAAAAUCCUGAGAACUAUACAGGUUGAGAUUCCUGAACAUGCUUAAAGGUUUUUAAUGAUGACUAAAUGUAGUGCAAAAUAUAGCCUAAACGACUGUUAUGUUUUUGUUGUGAUCUUAUCUUACAAAAAAGGGGGGAUGUGUGGUAGAAAUAUAUUAGGAGUAUAUUCUAUGGUAAACCAUGAUUAUUAUGAGGUCUGUAUAUCUAAUAGUGGAAAAACACAAAAAAUAGUGGAUGCCUGGGAGUCUGGGUUCAGAACAGAUGGUGGGGCCCCUAAAAGGAGCCGGAAGCUACGGGGUUAAGGCAUGCUGACCUCAGCCUAGUGUCUUGGGCUAUCUUUGCUGACCAUUUGCUGACCAUUUGCUGACCAUUCAGGUUAAGAUGAAUUUAUGACUGAAUGGAGGCGGACACCUCAAGGAGAAGCCGCUCAGUUUGUGUGAAUAAAGAGAAGCUGGAAUCAAUGUUCAACCAGUAACUCUAUAGACCUACUCAGGCUGUUGUCGUUGUUGUAUUUCUGCACGAUAAAGUCUUUUGUCAAUUCUUGCUCCGGACCCCUCGUUUUAUUUUACUCUCUCUCUCUUGAAUUAGUCUAAGUGUUUAUAUCUCGAUUAAUCUUCAACACAUCCUGGUCCCUUCUUCCGGUUGUUAGCAUUUGGACAGUUUUGCUCAUUGCCGUGAGGACGAGGUGGGACUCCAUUGUGGGCUAACGGAGUGGCCUAUGGGCACAUGUUGGCGGUUGUUGCGGUAUGGAACAUUUGGGUGGCGAUAACAGUGAGUAUUUGUGGUGGAUGGCCG